GACGAACGCUGGCGGCGUGCUUAACACAUGCAAGUCGAACGGAAAGGCCCUGCUUUUGUGGGGUGCUCGAGUGGCGAACGGGUGAGUAUCACGUGAGUAACCUGCCCUUGACUUUGGGAUAACUUCAGGAAACUGGGGCUAAUACCGGAUAGGAGCUCCUGCUGCAUGGUGGGGGUUGGAAAGUUUCGGCGGUUGGGGAUGGACUCGCGGCUUAUCAGCUUGUUGGUGGGGUAGUGGCUUACCAAGGCUUCGACGGGUAGCCGGCCUGAGAGGGUGACCGGCCACAUUGGGACUGAGAUACGGCCCAGACUCCUACGGGAGGCAGCAGUGGGGAAUAUUGCACAAUGGGCGGAAGCCUGAUGCAGCAACGCCGCGUGCGGGAUGACGGCCUUCGGGUUGUAAACCGCUUUCGCCUGUGACGAAGCGUGAGUGGCGGUAAUGGGUAAAGAAGCACCGGCUAACUACGUG
rnacentral:rRNA from 1 species